rnacentral:lncRNA from 1 species
CCCAAAUUCUUAUAAAUUGAUCUAUGUUUUCAUUUUUAUUGAAUGUGGGACUAUAUCCCUUUAACACUCCCCUUUAGAAAAUUUGAAUGCUCGACCAUAUGUGAGCAGCUUCUUAUUUGUAUGUAUUUUCGAGGCAAUGGAGAUCCUUUAAGAACUAUUGAAUGUGCAUGUGUAGUCAUAAUUUUUCUUUUCUUUAAGAAAAAUACCAACACAGCCUUAGUAGGUUUUCAAGCUCUUGGGAGUUUGGAUUCUCCGAUCGUAAAUAAAUAAACUCAAACUCAUGAAAACAAGAGGAAUGGCUGCAAGUUCUAUUGAAGUUAGUUUGAGCAGUUUUACUAGCCUGAAUACAAAGAGAACUCAAAAUACUUGCUCAGCAGAUGAGAGCAAUUUUAUCUUGUGAGCAGAUGAGAGCAAUUUUAUCUUGUGCAGAGAAGAUCACGGCUCUCUCCUAGUGCACUUAACUGCCCCAUUGCCUAAAUACAUCAAGUGACAUGCUAAUUAAAUUCAAAUAAAAGUUUAAUCGUAUGAACAGUCACAGGUCAGGUUGAUUAAAAUGACAAGGAAAAUCCAUUGAGAUAGUUUUUAGAGUUUCAUAAGUUUUGUGUUCUUACAUACUCUGAAAGCAGCGAUUUUGCAGUGUUCAUGUCCUCUUACACAUAUGACUACUUUGAAAAUGAUUGCGAUUACCGUCUUUG